rnacentral:rRNA from 1 species
CACGUAGGGGGCAAGCGUUGUCCGGAUUUAUUGGGCGUAAAGAGCGUGUAGGCGGCCAGGUAGGUCUGCUGUGAAAACUCGAGCUCAACCUCGAGACGCCGAUGGAAACCCUCUAGCUAGAGUCCGGAAGAGGAGAGUGGAAUUCCCGGUGUAGCGGUGAAAUGCGCAGAUAUCGGGAAGAACACCCGUGGCUAAGGCGGCUCUCUAGUACGGUACUGACGCUGAGACGCGAAAGCGUGGGGAGCGAACAGG